UUUAAACAUAUCUAUAAGUUUCCGUAUCUAAUUUUGAUCGGCUAUUUUAUUUAGUAUUUUAUUAUGAUUAGUAUUUUAUUAUUAUUAGAUGAUAAAACAUGAAUAAUAUUUUAUGCGUGACUUAUGUUUUUAAUUUUUAAAAAAAAAUAAAUAAAAUGGGUGAUUAAAAUUGCGUUUAAAAUAGGUGGGAGGUAGU
rnacentral:pre_miRNA from 1 species